rnacentral:rRNA from 1 species
AUUGAACGCUGGCGGCAGGCCUAACACAUGCAAGUCGAGCGGAUGAGAGGAGCUUGCUCCUUGAUUUAGCGGCGGACGGGUGAGUAAUGCCUAGGAAUCUGCCCGGUAGUGGGGGAUAACGUUCCGAAAGGAACGCUAAUACCGCAUACGUCCUACGGGAGAAAGCAGGGGACCUUCGGGCCUUGCGCUAUCGGAUGAGCCUAGGUCGGAUUAGCUAGUUGGUGAGGUAAAGGCUCACCAAGGCGACGAUCCGUAACUGGUCUGAGAGGAUGAUCAGUCACACUGGAACUGAGACACGGUCCAGACUCCUACGGGAGGCAGCAGUGGGGAAUAUUGGACAAUGGGCGAAAGCCUGAUCCAGCCAUGCCGCGUGUGUGAAGAAGGUCUUCGGAUUGUAAAGCACUUUAAGUUGGGAGGAAGGGCAGUAAGUUAAUACCUUGCUGUUUUGACGUUACCGACAGAAUAAGCACCGGCUAACUUCGUGCCAGCAGCCGCCGUAAGAC